rnacentral:misc_RNA from 1 species
UCCUCCGCUUAUUGAUAUGCUUAAGUUCAGCGGGUAUCCCUACCUGAUCCGAGGUCAAACUUUCGGUGGUUGGUGGGCGACCUGGGUAGGCCUCCCUUCGGCGGGUGCGCGGGCCUUGAAGGAACCCGGUUGGACGCGAUGGGUUGCUAACAGCGCUCGGUGCGGGUAGGCUAGGCACCGCCGGUGACGUUGGGGUCCGCCCCCGCGGGCGCGACCCAAUACCAAGCCAAGCUUGACGGUCGACAAUGACGCUCGGACAGGCAUGCCCGUCGGAAUACCGACGGGCGCAAUGUGCGUUCAAAGAUUCGAUGAUUCACUGAAUUCUGCAAUUCACAUUACUUAUCGCAUUUCGCUGCGUUCUUCAUCGAUGCCGGAACCAAGAGAUCCGUUGUUGAAAGUUUUUUCGUCGGUUUCUAACCAGAGGCUCUCAGAUUUCCUGCAAAGGUUUCAGGGUGCGCGUUUCCUCCAAGAGACAAGGCCGUUGGCGGACGCUAUCCAGCCGGAGGCCGGAGGCCCGGCCGUCGCCCCGACCGGUGGGUCGGGAGCGAGCCGCCGGGCGCGGUCCGCCAAAGCAACGAGGUUUGUAAGCAAGGGUGGAGAGCGUGGGGACCUCUUACGGGCCCCCUUCCACUCGUUAAUGAUCCUUCCGCAGGUUCACCUACA